UGGUGGGUGGGCAACUCCGAUGAGUGGGAAGCUUUGACGUUACUCAAAGGAGGCCAGGCAUGCGUAAGGAAGUGCGGCCACUCAUGGGAGACCGACUUCAGCUUGGUCUGCUUCAGUGCUGCUCGAGAGCAUGGGAGGCAUGCAUGGGCGCAUGAGAAAACUUGGUGACGCUGUAGGCUGCUUCACACCAUUAUAGGGGAGCGUGGGUGCGGGAGCAGGUCGGGGCCGCCAAGGGUGGCC
rnacentral:lncRNA from 1 species